CCCAUAAUCAAAAUAGGCCAACACAUAUGGUUAAAGCCAUAUCACAUACUCUAAUAUUUAAACUCCUAUACAUGCCAUAGGCUCAAAGUACUUGAAAUCACUACACCAAUAGCGUUAGCUUGACAGUGUGAUAAUAUCUCUGACGGCCUCCAAUCCGAGCUAACUUAGAAACUCUAGAAAACAUGGGAAAGAAGAGGGGGGUAAGCUUUCGCUUAGUAAGUUCAUAUGAAAAUAAUAAGCAACUCAUUAACUUGUUUUAUCAAUGUUUACAACAUAUUCUCAAGUUCACUACAAGCUGUCUUUCUGAGCAACGGUCACUAAAUUAUUUAUAUCUAGAGCUAAGAAACUCCGAAUUAAGUUCCGUUAAUUUUCCUUAAAAAUAUACUUAUUUUCCUUUCUUCCAUAAAAUUUCCAGAAUUUUCGGUUAAGCCAAAUAGUACAGUUUAUUCCUCAAAGUUACCCCUGAUUCACUGUCUGACAGUUCCGACCCUUCUGUACUAAAGUUCGAUUAUCUCAUAGUACAAGACUCGAAUAAUAUUCUCGUCUAUUUCUCUUGAAACUAGACUCAUAUGUCUAGUUACUAAUUUUUUUCUAGAAUUUUUGGUUGGGCCAAUUAGUACAGUUUAUUAGUUAAAUUCUCCCUUAUUUCAGGGUAUGACCACUCUGGCCCCUGUGCACUACAAACCGAAUUUCUCCCUGUAAAAAAUUCCAACGACCAUGCCAUUUAUUUCCCCUAAAAAUAGACUCAAUAAGGAAUCCAUUUAUGUAAAAUAUGACUCUUAAUAAUUUUUGUACAAUUUUUGGUGAAUUUCUAAUAUCAGAACAGGGGAUCUCGAAUUCAUUCAGACCCUGUUUCACAAUAAUUCAAAUAUACACAAUAUGGAAUUCUUUUUCUUCCCCUGUUUCUUUCAUGUGAAAAUAGACUCAUUAAGCUUUAAUCCCAUAUUUUAUUCGGCCUCUAACUCAUUUUCCACUAUUUUUAGUGUAUUUUCAAAGUUACACUACUGCAGUAACUCAAAUCUGUCAAGGCUAAAUUACUCAUUCAUGAUCAUUGUUCACAAAAUUAAUACAACAUCGUUUGUAUAAUCAUCACCGAGACAUUCAUAUCACAUUUUCAUUUACCAUCUUACCAUAUUGUUGUUAUGUCGAGUUUUCAACCCGAGGGUUAAGUACAUACCUGUUCAAAGUAUCCAUUUCACAACAUUUACCAAUACGUCC
rnacentral:lncRNA from 1 species